rnacentral:rRNA from 1 species
AGGGUGCGAGCGUUAAUCGGAAUCACUGGGCGUAAAGCGCACGUAGGCGGCUUUUCAAGUCAGGGGUGAAAUUCCACGGCUCAACCGUGGAACUGCCUUUGAAACUGGAGAGCUUGAGUAUCGGAGAGGGUGGCGGAAUUCCAGGUGUAGGAGUGAAAUCCGUAGAUAUCUGGAGGAACACCGGUGGCGAAGGCGGCCACCUGGACGACAACUGACGCUGAGGUGCGAAAGCGUGGGUAGCAA